rnacentral:rRNA from 1 species
GCCACUUCGGUGGUACUCGAGCGGCGAACGGGUGAGUAACACGUGAGUAAUCUGCCCUCCACUUUGGGAUAGCCACCGGAAACGGUGAUUAAUACCGGAUAUGACCUGGUGCCGCAUGGUGCUUGGUGGAAAGUUUUUCGGUGGGGGAUGUGCUCGCGGCCUAUCAGCUUGAUGGUGGGGUAAUGGCCUACCAUGGCUUCGACGGGUAGCCGGCCUGAGAGGGUGACCGGCCACACUGGGACUGAGACACGGCCCAGACUCCUACGGGAGGCAGCAGUGGGGAAUAUUGGACAAUGGGCGGAAGCCUGAUCCAGCAACGCCGCGUGAGGGAUGACGGCCUUCGGGUUGUAAACCUCUUUCGCCUGCGACGAAGCGAAAGU